rnacentral:lncRNA from 1 species
UUCUACCUAUAUGAAUAUUGCAACUACAACUCCCACAGAGAUGCAAAAAUUCACCAAGAUGCAUACAACUAUCCUCUUGCAAUUGAACUAAAUAAGGCACCUAGGUAUAUCCCUAUCCUAGGUGCUAAUUCAAAUCCUUUAUUUAAUGAAAGAAUGGGAACCUUGCUCCUUAAUUUCUUUGUUCUUUUCUGUGAUUCUCCUCAAGGAUUAACAUAGAAAUAUAGAUUUAUUCUAAUGGUG